rnacentral:RNase_P_RNA from 1 species
UGAGUAAACCGGGCAGCCGCGGAGGUGCUGAUGCCUUCGAGGAAAGUCCGAGCUUCGCAGGGCAGGGUGCUGGGUAAUACCCAGUGGGGGCGACCUUAAGGAAAGUGCCACAGAAAUAAACCGCCUCUUGUUGGAUGUUGGAUGUUAGAGGUUAGAAGUUGGAUGAACCAGGUUUUUUAGUAAACAGGUUUUUUCUAACCUCCAGCUUCCAGCAUCCAAUAAGGGCAAGGAUGCAACGGUGCGGUAAGAGCGCACCAGCAGCCGGGUGACCGGCUGGCUAGGUAAACCCCACCCGAAGCAAGACUGAAUAGGAGGGAGAUGAAGUUGCCCGCUGAAUCCCUCGGGUAUAAGUCGCUGGAGGUGCCAGGCAACUGGUAUCCAAGAUAGAUGGCUGCUGCUCCGGCAAGGAGAUACAGAACUCGGCUUACAGGUUUGCUCAUAAU